rnacentral:rRNA from 1 species
UCAGGGAAGAAGCUCUGACGGUACCUGAGGAAUCAGCCUCGGCUAACUCCGUGCCAGCAGCCGCGGUAAUACGGAGGAGGCAAGCGUUAUCCGGGAUUAUUGGGCGUAAAGCGUCCGCAGGUGGCGAUUCAAGUCUGCUGUCAAAGCACGGGGCUUAACUCCGUAAAGGCAGUGGAGACUGAAUAGCUAGAGUGCCGUAGGGGUAGAGGGAAUUCCCGGUGUAGCGGUGAAAUGCGUAGAGAUCGGGAAGAACAUCGGUGGCGAAAGCGCUCUACUGGACGGCAACUGACACUCAGGGACGAAAGCUAGGGGAGCGAAUGGGAUUAGAUACCCCAGUAGUCCUAGCUGUAAACGAUGGAUACUAGGUGUAGCUUGUAUCGACCCGAGCUGUGCCGAAGCUAACGCGUUAAGUAUCCCGCCUGGGGAGUACGCACGCAAGUGUGAAACUCAAAGGAAUUGACGGGGGCCCGCACAAGCGGUGGAGUAUGUGGUUUAAUUCGAUGCAACGCGAAGAACCUUACCAGGGCUUGACAUGUCCGGAACCCCGGUGAAAGCUGGGGGUGCCUUCGGGAGCCGGAACACAGGUGGUGCGUGGCUGUCGUCAGCUCGUGUCGUGAGAUGUUGGGUUAAGUCCCGCAACGAGCGCAACCCUCGUCUUUAGUUGCCAGCAUUAAGUUGGGCACUCUAGAGAGACUGCCGGUGACAAACCGGAGGAAGGUGGGGAUGACGUCAAGUCAGCAUGCCCCUUACGCUCUGGGCGACACACGUACUACAAUGGUCGGGACAGAGGGCAGCUAACCUGCGAAGGCAAGCUAAUCCCUGCAAACUCGGCCUCAGUUCAGAUCGCAGGCUGCAACUCGCCUGCGUGAAGGAGGGAUCGCUAGUAAUCGCCGGUCAGAAUACGGCGGUGAAUCCGUUCCCGGGCCU